rnacentral:lncRNA from 1 species
CUUUUAUGCUCCAGGAUCUUCGCUUCAGGGUUUUUUGCUGUUGUCAGCAAUGCAGUUCUUGUUACUGGACCUGAACAAGAGAAUGUCUGAGCAUCAACACCUUUUCUUCAGCUGGUGGCAAAGCUGACCUUCCCAUGUUGCUCUGGUGAUGCCUGAAAGCUGAUGUUUCUGACUUUCCUGGGAAGACCAGGAGGGAUGCUUCACAAUGAGCUGGCAGUGUACUGGCAUCUUCACAGGUCACCAGAUGUUGCUCUUCCCGGUGUUGCUACAGCCUCUCUUGAGUGCCCUUUCCCUCUUGUUCAUC